AGCAGCCGCGGUAAUUCCAGCUCCAAUAGCGUAUAUUAAAGUUGUUGCAGUUAAAAAGCUCGUAGUUGAAUUUCGGGGGUCAGUAGGUUGGUCGUGCCACUGGUACGUACUGGUCUCACUGAUUCCUCCUUCCUGAUGAACCGUAAUGCCAUUAAUUUGGUGUUGCGGGGAAACUGGACUGUUACUUUGAAAAAAUUAGAGUGUUUAAAGCAGGCUAACGCUUGAAUACAUUAGCAUGGAAUAAUAAAAUAGGACGUUCGAAUCCUAUUUUGUUGGUUUCUAGGAUUGACGUAAUGAUUAAUAGGGAUAGUUGGGGGCAUUAGUAUUCAAUUGUCAGAGGUGAAAUUCUUGGAUUUAUUGAAGACUAACUACUGCGAAAGCAUUUGCCAAGGAUGUUUUCAUUAAUNAAGAACGAAAGUUAGGGAUCGGAAGACGAUCAGAUACCGUGUAGUCUUAACCAUAAACUNUAGCCGACUAGGGAUCGGAUGAUGUUAAUUUUAUAAUGACUUNAUUCGGCACC
rnacentral:rRNA from 1 species